AGGUGGUGCAUGGUUGUCGUCAGCUCGUGUCGUGAGAUGUUGGGUUAAGUCCCGCAACGAGCGCAACCCCUACGUUUAGUUGCUAACGCGUGAAGGCGAGCACUCUAGACGAACUGCCGGUGUCAAACCGGAGGAAGGUGGGGAUGACGUCAAAUCAUCAUGCCCCUUAUGACCUGGGCUACACACGUGCUACAAUGGUUGGUACAACGAGUUGCGAGUCGGUGACGGCGAGCUAAUCUCUUAAAGCCAAUCUCAGUUCGGAUUGUAGGCUGCAACUCGCCUACAUGAAGUCGGAAUCGCUAGUAAUCGCGGAUCAGCACGCCGCGGUGAAUACGUUCCCGGGCCUU
rnacentral:rRNA from 1 species